UGGAGUCAGGUAUAGUUGUGGUUGCUGCCUCCAUUUUUGACGCUAUUGUUGAGGAUUUUGGAGGGCUGGUUGUUGUUAUUGUGAUGUCAGGCAUAGUUGUGGUUGCUGCAUCAGAUGUUGAUGCUGGUGCUAUAGUGGUCGAUGUCAGAGGUGUGGUUGUGGAAGCCAAAACUGUUGUUGCAUCAGUUGUUGUUGUUGUGGUGUCAGGCAGAGUUAUGGUUGAUGCAUCAGUGGUUGACAUUAGAGGGGUGGUUGUGGAAUCCAAAUUUGUUGUUACAUCAGUAAUUGUAGUGGUGUCAGACAGAGCUGUGGUUGAUUCAUCAGUUAUUGUU
ensembl:lncRNA